GGGCCCUUAGCUCAAAUGGUAAAGCGUCUAAUUGUCAAUUAGGAAAAAAUCAGUUCGAAUCUGGUGGCGCG